rnacentral:rRNA from 1 species
GAUGAACGCUGGCGGCAUGCCUAAUACAUGCAAGUCGAACGAGAGGAAGGAAAGCUUGCUUUUCUGAAUCUAGUGGCGAACGGGUGAGUAACACGUAGGUAACCUGCCCAUGUGCCCGGGAUAACUUCUGGAAACGGAUGCUAAAACCGGAUAGGUAGCAGACAAGCAUUUGACUGCUAUUAAAGUGGCUAAGACCAUGAACAUGGAUGGACCUGCGGUGCAUUAGCUAGUUGGUGAGGUAACGGCCCACCAAGGCGACGAUGCAUAGCCGGCCUGAGAGGGCGGACGGCCACAUUGGGACUGAGACACGGCCCAAACUCCUACGGGAGGCAGCAGUAGGGAAUUUUCGUCAAUGGGGGGAACCCUGAACGAGCAAUGCCGCGUGAGUGAAGAAGGUCUUCGGAUCGUAAAGCUCUGUUGUAAGAGAAAAACGACAUUCAUAGGGAAUGAUGAGUGAGUGAUGGUAUCUUACCAGAAAGUCACGGCUAA